CCUGCGGAAGGAUCAUUACCGAGUUUUCGAGCUCCGGCUCGACUCUCCCACCCUUUGUGAACGUACCUCUGUUGCUUUGGCGGCUCCGGCCGCCAAAGGACCUUCAAACUCCAGUCAGUAAACGCAGACGUCUGAUAAACAAGUUAAUAAACUAAAACUUUCAACAACGGAUCUCUUGGUUCUGGCAUCGAUGAAGAACGCAGCGAAAUGCGAUAAGUAAUGUGAAUUGCAGAAUUCAGUGAAUCAUCGAAUCUUUGAACGCACAUUGCGCCCCUUGGUAUUCCGGGGGGCAUGCCUGUUCGAGCGUCAUUACAACCCUCAAGCUCUGCUUGGAAUUGGGCACCGUCCUCACUGCGGACGCGCCUCAAAGACCUCGGCGGUGGCUGUUCAGCCCUCAAGCGUAGUAGAAUACACCUCGCUUUGGAGCGGUUGGCGUCGCCCGCCGGACGAACCUUCUGAACUUUUCUCAAGGUUGACCUCGGAUCAGGUAGGGAUACCCGCUGAACUUAAGCAUAUCAAUAAGCGGAGG
rnacentral:rRNA from 1 species